AUGACGGCAACAACCGUGUUGUGUCUCCUGGGUGAUGCCCCGCCCACCCUCACGGUCCUGCCCCCCUCCAGUGUACAGCUGCAGCAGGAGAAGAUCACACUCGUGUGUCUGGCCAACAAGGGCUUCCCCUCAGACUGGAAGCUGAGCUGGAAGGUGGCUGGUAGCAGCUGGAGCUCGGGGGUGAGCCAGAGCUCCGGGCUUCUGCAGAAGGACGGCCUCUACAGCUGGAGCAGCAUCCUGACCCUCCAGAAGGAGGAGUGGCUGAAGAAGACAGUGACCUGUGAGGCCACCAAGGACUCCCAGUCUCCUGUCACACAG